rnacentral:rRNA from 1 species
UACGUAGGGGGGCAAGCGUUGUCCGGAAUCAUUGGGCGUAAAGGGUGCGUAGGCGGCGUGGUAAGUCGGGUGUGAAAUCUCGGAGCUUAACUCCGAAACUGCAUUCGAUACUGCCGUGCUUGAGGACUGGAGAGGAGACUGGAAUUUACGGUGUAGCGGUGAAAUGCGUAGAUAUCGUAAGGAAGACCAGUGGCGAAGGCGGGUCUCUGGACAGUUCCUGACGCUGAGGCACGAAGGCCAGGGGAGCAAACGGGG